UUGCUCCCAUUACACAGCACUGGAUUUUACAUGUGAUCUCAUUGCUUCUGCUAGAAAGGAGAUCUCACUUCUGGCAGCAUAUAUGUUUAGUGAACUCAUCCAGCAAGAGGAGCAGAACUGGUCCCUAAGCUGGAUGCACUCUCAUUAUUGCCAUGUAUGUUCACUACUCACCAAGAACUAGAAGUCAGUGAAGACUCCAAGGCUUACAUUUUUGCUUACAUUUAUAUUGUGGAAGCCAAGAACACUUACAGUGACUGGGGCUAAGCUACAGUAUUUGCAUACUGGAUAUCUGGGAUUUGCAGAAAAACAUGGAGAUGAAUGUGAGUAGAAUAAUUAUCUGUUCUUCAAGUGAAAUGGAGCACACUUCACCCAAUGUCCAUUGACACAGAAGGAGUAGAAUCUGUGAUAUUUCUAAAUAUUUACUAGAUCCACUAUUGAAAACAAGAGGAAGUAACAGAAAACAACAACAACAAGGAAAACAAAGAAAAUGAAGAAUGAAACCAAAACUAAGGAAAAUUUGAGAAAAAAGAAAACAAACGUAAAAUUUCUAUAAUCACAGAGACAACCAUUGGAAUAUAUUGUCAGGAGAGGUUAUAGACUUUCUGUCCUUGAAGGUUUAAAAACUUUCUGGACAGCAUCUGCAGAAUGUCAGAUGUUCCUUUCAGAAUUAUUUCUUACAGUUCCAUGAUACAGUAUUAUGACAUUAUUGCACUGCUGGUAACAUUACAACUCUGCAGUGACCCAUUUCACAAGAUACUUGACAGUGGAUGGACUCUUGCUUCUUUUCCUAUGAACAUUAUAGAAUAAUUAAGGAAAUUUAGGAUAGUGUUAUUCUUAAUAAAAAUGUGAUGUGAAAUUGUUAACCUAGAGAUCUUGGGUGAGAAAAUUCUCCAUGUUUUCUUCUAUACAGGGCUUUAUAGAUGAUGAAUGCAUGCAACAGAGCAAAUCAAAGCCAGCAUGAUAUAAAAGUAGUCAUUUAACCCUUUAUCUCCACCUGAAUAUAUAAGUGUAUAUAUUUCAUAUUAUGUAGCACCCUUGUUACAAUACCACAAAACACAAUUAGAAGACGUUUUAUUUGUGACAUUGAUUUUAAACUGUAAACAUAAGGAGAAAAUAAGAUGUAAAUAAAACCACACAUCUUGACU
ensembl:lncRNA